ensembl:snoRNA
CCUCCUCUUCUUGGCGGGGAUCGGGAGUGUGGUCCCAGUCCCCGUAAUGUACCAAGGCAAAGGGAAAGGGCUCCAGCUCCCUCAGUGUCAUGUCUUCCAGUGCCAGCAGCUUCCGGUCUGUCGGUUCUAUCCUGAAGCACUGGAACACGG